rnacentral:rRNA from 1 species
UACGGAGGGGGCUAGCGUUGUUCGGAAUUACUGGGCGUAAAGCGCGCGUAGGCGGACCUGCAAGUCGGGGGUGAAAGUCCGGGGCUCAACCUCGGAUCGGCCGUGGCGACUCGUGGGCUGGAGCACUGUAGAGGCGGGUGGAAUUCCGGGUGUAGCGGUGGAAUGCGUAGAGAUCCGGAAGAACACCAGUGGCGAAGGCGGCCCGCUGGGCAGUGGCUGACGCUGAAGCGCGACAGCGUGGGGAGCAAACAGG